rnacentral:piRNA from 1 species
UGAACAAAUGCCCUACAGGCAGGUGGUGU